rnacentral:lncRNA from 1 species
UGGCCGCGAGAGGGACUAUAUGUCCUGGGCCACGGGAAAAUCACUACGGAGGCAGCCGGUAGGUGUGCUUUUUAUAUAUAUAUAUAUAUAUAUAUUUGAUUCAAACUUUUCUUAUGCCUUGCCGCGGAAUUUGAUAACUACCAUUUAUAUCAUAGACGGGUAUUUGUCGCUACAGUCGACUCUUUCAUUUUUCUACCAUAUUUUUUAAUACCGGUAAGAGGGAGCCACUUUCCCUAGUACUCCUUUUUUUCUCGAACCUUCCCCAUAGGGGUGGAGGGUGGCGCGUCGGCGGCAAUUAACCGCGAUCCGGAUGGUUGCUUUCGACACGCGGGUGAAGGGCCAUUCAAAGAAGUCGACUCCACCUGGACCGUUACAUCCUGUUCCGACUUUUCGCCUUCUCGGCUCGACGCUCGCCAUUCGGACUAAUCUGUCCACCAGUGGACUCGAUAGCUCUAUUCCGCUCUAUUGCUUUAAAGACACGCGAUACAGAGGGCGUGGAGUUUUGGAAUGGAAUAGAGUUCAGUCGUAUGUCCUUACAAUUCUCUGGAAAAUGCACACUAACUCCUUUCAACUAUUAGCGUUUUUUUUAAUCCUGUCGAAAUAGGGAGAGUUUUAGCCCUGACGUAAGUCUUAUUUAAUAUUUCCCUGCGGGAGGUAGUUCUUUGCACAUUGGAAAAGCCUCCCUCCCUGUUAGUAUUUUUAGCCUGUCCCGGGGAUGGAGAUGCUUCGAAGAGGAAGUAGACGAAAGCCCACAUCUUCAGCUGUUCCCUUCCAUCACCAAACGCCCGCAUGCUUGGGUUUAUAUAUAGAGGUGGCAUCUGCCUUAUUAACCCAUUGGCCGAGAAAGCCGACCGUCAGCAACUGUUCAGCCCAAAGAAGAAAAUGCGCUGAAAUGAAGAUGGAAAUAACCAAACCCACUGAGAACAAAAUUUUUUAUCUCCCAUUAACCGUGCAAAGUCCGUUUCCAUAAUUGCAAUGGAAAAAACGGCGAAAAACCUGGUGUUCAUGGAUUUUUAGUUAAUAAUCCUAAUAUAUAUACUUGGAUCUUAGGAUAGGCGAUAUGGCGCCCUUCCGGCCCGCCCCAAACUUACGUCACAACUAGAAUCGACACUAGCCUUUCACCGGCAAGGAUGUAAAAAAAAGAGCCGUUGUCAUUUCUUCCUCUGGCGGACAGCGAAAUUGGAGCCGGGGGCAGAAGCGACCAGGCCGAGCUGUGGGGAUCCGUUAGGGGCAAAACUGCUGACAACUAUCUCCCGGGCAACAAAGGACGUACAGGUGAAACAUUACCUUAGGACUUCUUUCCGUGGCUGCCCUUCUUUGGCACGCUAAAAACUGGAGUCGGCUUCCGUUCGAACCGUAAAGCGUCGCAGAGAGUGAGGCGCCGCCGGGCGGAAGCCUAAUUAAUUGCCGGUAAUUAGCCAAAACGCGGGACUGCGUGCGGCCCGACGGAAGGACCGAUACCAUCAAUGGCGGCGCUGAUCCGGCCCAUCGAUUAACAUUAAUUAUUACCGGGAAAGUGUCGCCAGUUUCCCCUUUGAAGACCUCCUCGUGAGAAGAAUCGGCCACCGCCGAUCUCACCCCUCCGUUCCGCUUCCGUCUUCUCUUCCGGAAUGCGCGAUUAGAACUCACUUCCGGUGGCCCGCUUCACUUUCUUUCACAAGUGUUUUGUCUUUAUAGGAGAUAUCUCCUGAUUAAGCUGAAGAGGUCUAUAAAAUCUUGCAAAUAGAUUUUUCCGGCGGUCUCUUAUUCUCCCCCUGUUGUUUACGUCAGGAUGGAAGUAGAGCGCGCCCUUUCCCGGGGACGACAAUAGCCUUUGACCCUCGACCCGCGGGUAAUUCGCUUGUUUACCGCAUUCUGGAAGCACCACUUUCUGACCCAUAAUGGAAAGGUUAAGGAGCGUGGGUCUUUGUGGCCAGUCACCUCCCAGAUCUGUCUUUUCGUAAAUAAGCCUUUUGUUCCAGGUGCGAUCGGGCCGUUGGCCCGCCAAUUACUGAUCAAAUCAGUAAUAAGUCGGCCCGGGAGAGAAUUUGCACCCGGAUACUGGAGCCGGGAGAUGGAAGUAACUUCACGUGUUGUGACGUCACCGUGGGCCGCCAAAGGGGGCAUCCGGUCAUGUGACUCCGGGAAAGGGGCAUAUUUGGGAUGGGAGGAUAGUUGCCCGGGCCGUCGGCCCGGUCCUCUGGCUGCGUGCGUGUGUCCAACUGGACGCGUACGGCACGUCAAGUCUUUCUGAUAUUGUUACCGGGACGAUGUUUCCGGAGGCCCCUAAUAUUUUAUUAGGCGGCAGUCAAGGAGAAAGGCCAAGGACUACCAAGUGUCUAGAUCCGUCAAACAAUGCACGAUUAGAUCGCUAUGUUUGUCGUCUCGAUAUCGCCUACUGACGAAGCACACAAUGCCCAUUGUUUCGGCCAAAUAGAGGGCCGGUCGUCGACCGAGGUCGAUUUUCACCCGCCCGCCCCCAAAUUUACAGCCCGAUAUAUUCACUCAACACUUGUUACGAUCAUUCCUAAUCUCUUUCGUCAUCUUGCUUCUUCCGGUUUUUCUUCCGAUGGGUGGGCUGCAGCUUCCGGGUAAUUCGAAUGCUCUUGUUAUGCUGAUUUUUCAUCUAAAAUUUCUGAUUUCCAUACUCUUUUAAAAAUGGACCGUAGACUUCAAAGAGCACUUUCUACAUCUUAUUAAUCAAAAUUAAAUAUUUAAAACUGACAGUUUUAUGACUUUCGUUAUAAUGA